UACAGAGGUCUCAAGCGUUGUUCGGAUUCAUUGGGCGUAAAGGGUGCGUAGGUGGUGGGGUAAGUCCGCUCUGAAAGUCCAGGGCUCAACCCUGGAAAGCGGGUGGAUACUGCCGGGCUAGAAUCCGGAAGAGGCGAGUGGAAUUCCUGGUGUAGCGGUGGAAUGCGCAGAUAUCAGGAGGAACACCGGUGGCGAAGGCGGGUCUCUGGGCCGUAACUGACGCUGAGGAGCGAAAGCGUGGGGAGCGAACAGG
rnacentral:rRNA from 1 species